AGCACUCGUGAAUUGCAAUUAUUUGAAAUUUGAACAAAAAAAUACAGACCACAGUCGUGCAGAGUUCUACUUCUAAUAGUUCUAUUCAUACAUAUUAUUACAUAAUCGCCAUGCAUAAGUGUAUUGUUUUUAGUAAAACAUCCGAAGUAUCGCCUAGCCACAUUAUGUUGGUUUUAAUUUAUUUCCAAAAAAUGAAAAUAGAAGGAAAUAAUGGCUAAACAUGUUCGAAUUAAAUGAUUAUCCCAAUUUCUAUCUGACAUAGUAUCUGCGGAUUAUUUCUCAAUUACUGAUUGUAAACAAUGCUCUCAAAACAUAAUCCAAACCGUUUGUCUGGGAUAGAGAAGAAAAAUAAAUUUUAGUAAAUUACAGCAAUAUUGGUACUACUCUGAGCACGACUAAUAAAUCGCAUCUAUGUGUUGGUCUGUGUUUUGCGCUGUGCCGCUGCAGUGGUUGACGACGGUGUUGUCUCCAGAACCGAACAAUGUCAGCGAGGGUGGAGCGUGACGUUGCUACUCGUUGCCGGUGGUUAGCAGACAAAAAAUUGAACAAAUGCUCGAGACGUGCAUGAAUAUUGUGUAUCUCCAACGAUGAGGUUGAAGAAAAUGAACAGACAAAUAAAGGAUUUCGAGGCCUUACAAGCUGAUGAUUUUAAUUCAUCCAGAAAAGCCUUAGAAGCUUAAUAAUGUCUAUACACACUUAUAGUUUACACACAUAUUUUGCCUGUGUCUUAUUCUAAACAAUUGGAUCACAAGCAACCUCCAGCUGUUAUCACAUAUAUCUUUGGUGAAAUCGUAACUAUUGUAAAGAUUUUUUUGAUUAAUGCUUCACCUGUCAGAAUGAUUGGCAUGAACAUGAGCUCUAUUAAGCUUUUUGUUGUCUCCAGAAAUGAACAAUGUCGUCGAGGAUGGAGCGUGAUGUUGCCGGUCGUUAGCUGACAAAAAAUUGCACAAAUGCUCGAGACGUGCAUGACAACCAGAAUAUUGUAUAUCUCCAACGAUGAGGUUGGAGAAAAUGAACAGACGAAUAAAGGAUUUGGAGACGUUAUAGUUGAUGAAUUUAAUUUACCCAGAAAAUCCUUAGAAACUUAAUAAUGUCUUAUUCACAUACACUUAUUUCAUUCAGUGGAUUAUACUUAUAUUUUCCAAACUGAAAUAUAUCGUAUAUAUUCAUAUAAUGGAUAAUACUUAUAUUUUCAAAACUGAAAUAUAUGAUGUACCUCAUACAAGUAGCUAGGAAGUCGAUCAAAUAUGCUGACAAUUUUUCAGACACUGACUUUUAUGAAGAUAAUUCUACCGACUUAGAUGAAGCCAUACAAUAUUGGAGCGAAUAAUGAAAUUUAAGGGCAAUACAAUUUUGCUGAGCAAGAACCCAAUUUCAAUAACACAGAUGAGGGCCUCAACAUAUCUAAAUUGCAAAGAAACACGUAAUUAGUUUGGACUUCAGUAUCUUUUCUGAAAUAAAAGUAUAAAUAGUUGGAUGACAGAUUUCCAAAAAACGAAAAUAGAAGGAAAUAAUGGCGGUAAUCACUUCUACAGCAACACUGGUAGUACUGCUCUGAGCACGACUAGUAAAUCUUAUCUAAGAAAAUAUUGUGUUUUUCCGACGAUGAGUUAGAAGAUAAUGAACAGACGAAUAAAGGAUAUGGAGACCUUACAGUUGAAAAUGUUUUCAUUCACCCAGAAAAGCCUUAGUUAAUGUCUAAAUCACACACAUAUAUAAUGGUUGGCAUGAGCUGUGAAAAGAAAUAUUAUAUUGAAGAUGUAGCUGAUACGCUGUUAAUAAAUUUGGGGUGUCCUACAUAUACAUACAUACAAAGU